UACGAAGGGGGCUAGCGUUGUUCGGAAUUACUGGGCGUAAAGCGCGCGCAGGCGGCUAUCCAAGUCAGUGGUGAAAGCCCGGAGCUCAACUCCGGAACUGCCAUUGAAACUGUUUAGCUGGAGUAUGAGAGAGGUGAGUGGAAUUCCCAGUGUAGAGGUGAAAUUCGUAGAUAUGGGGAAGAACACCGGUGGCGAAGGCGGCUCACUGGCUCAUUACUGACGCUCAUGCGCGACAGCGUGGGGAUCAAACAGG
rnacentral:rRNA from 1 species